CCUUGUACACACCGCCCGUCACACCAUGGGAGUGGGUUNCAAAAGAAGUAGGUAGCUUAACCCUUCGGGAGGGCGCUUACCACUUUGUGAUUCAUGACUGGGGUG
rnacentral:rRNA from 1 species